rnacentral:tRNA from 1 species
UCUGGCGUAGCUCAGCGGUAGAGCUAUCGGCUGUUAACCGAUCGGUCGUAGGUUCGAAUCCUACCGCCAGAGCCA